UCGGAUAUGGUGUAACGGCUAACAUUGCCGCCUCUCAUUGAUUGCAGUGCGCGGCAGCUCGGGGUUCGAUUCCCCGUAUCCGAA